AUGGACGAAAGUCUGACGGAGCAACGCCGCGUGAGUGAUGAAGGUUUUCGGAUCGUAAAACUCUGUUGUUAGGGAAGAACAAGUACCGUUCGAAUAGGGCGGUACCUUGACGGUACCUAACCAGAAAGCCACGGCUAACUACGUGCCAGCAGCCGCGGUAAUACGUAGGUGGCAAGCGUUGUCCGGAAUCAUUGGGCGUAAAGCGCGCGCAGGUGGUUCCUUAAGUCUGAUGUGAAAGCCCCCGGCUCAACCGGGGAGGGUCAUUGGAAACUGGGGAACUUGAGUGCAGAAGAGGAAAGUGGAAUUCCACGUGUAGCGGUGAAAUGCGUAGAGAUGUGGAGGAACACCAGUGGCGAAGGCGACUUUCUGGUCUGUAACUGACACUGAGGCGCGAAAGCGUGGGGAGCGAACAGGAUUAGAUACCCUGGUAGUCCACGCCGUAAACGAUGAGUGCUAAGUGUUAGGGGGUUUCCGCCCCUUAGUGCUGCAGCAAACGCAUUAAGCACUCCGCCUGGGGAGUAC
rnacentral:rRNA from 1 species